rnacentral:siRNA from 1 species
GUCCGCCUUUGGUGUGCA